GCCCUCGUAGAUCAGUUGGUAGAUUCCCCAUUCACUUUGGAAUAAUAUGGACACAGUUUGCGGGCGACGUGGGUUCGACUCCCAUCGAGGGCC